rnacentral:rRNA from 1 species
GAUGAACGCUAGCGACAGGCCUAACACAUGCAAGUCGAGGGGCAGCAUGAAAUUAGCUUGCUAAUUUUGAUGGCGACCGGCGCACGGGUGAGUAACACGUAUGCAACCUGCCUGUAAGCGGGGGAUAACCCGGAGAAAUUCGGACUAAUACCGCAUAAUAUCAUUGAUUCGCAUGUUUCAAUGAUUAAAAAUUUAUUGCUUACAGAUUGGGAUGCGUAUGAUUAGCUAGUUGGCGGGGUAACGGCCCACCAAGGCGACGAUCAUUAGGGGUUCUGAGAGGAAGGUCCCCCACAUUGGAACUGAGACACGGUCCAAACUCCUACGGGAGGCAGCAGUGAGGAAUAUUGGUCAAUGGACGAGAGUCUGAACCAGCCAUGUCGCGUGAAGGAUGACUGUCCUAUGGAUUGUAAACUUCUUUUAUAUGGGGAUAAAGUGUGAGACUUGUCUCAUUUUGCAUGUACCAUAUGAAUAAGCAUCGGCUAACUCCGUGCCAGCAGCCGCCGUAAAAC